UACGUAGGGUGCAAGCGUUAAUUCGGAAUACUGGGCGUAAAGCGUGCGCAGGCGGUUAUGCAAGACAGAUGUGAAAUCCCCGGGCUCAACCUGGGAACUGCAUUUGUGACUGCAUGGCUGGAGUGCGGCAGAGGGGGAUGGAAUUCCGCGUGUAGCAGUGAAAUGCGUAGAUAUGCGGAGGAACACCGAUGGCGAAGGCAAUCCCCUGGGCCUGCACUGACGCUCAUGCACGAAAGCGUGGGGAGCAAACAGG
rnacentral:rRNA from 1 species